rnacentral:lncRNA from 1 species
GCUAAGAGCUAUUUAAUGGGAAGUUUUCUCAGACCUUUCAAUGGCAUGCAUGCUGCUCUUCAAAAGAUCUGAUCCUGUGUCCUUUGAAUGUCAACGAUAUCAAUACUACAGCCUACAGAAGCCCAAGGACAAUUUUUUUGCAGGCAUUCAAAUGAAGGUGAAAACUUGGCAUCUGAAGUGCCAAAAGCCUCUGAAGAUCUGGCCACCGACUUUGCCUGACUGAGCUCUGUUACUGAGGAAACCAGCAGGCAUGAAGCUGUCAGAGCACAGACUUCCACACGGCUGCAAACUACCAUGGCGACCAAGGCAUAUAGUGACAGAACUGGUAUGUGUGUUACCUGUUGU